rnacentral:rRNA from 1 species
AACGAACGCUGGCGGCAUGCCUAACACAUGCAAGUCGAACGAGACCUUCGGGUCUAGUGGCGCAAGGGUGCGUAACGCGUGGGAACCUGCCCUUAGGUUCGGAAUAACUCCCCGAAAGGGGUGCUAAUACCGGAUAAUGUCUUCGGACCAAAGAUUUAUCGCCUUUGGAUGGGCCCGCGUUGGAUUAGCUAGUUGGUAGGGUAAAAGCCUACCAAGGCGACGAUCCAUAGCUGGUCUGAGAGGAUGAUCAGCCACACUGGGACUGAGACACGGCCCAGACUCCUACGGGAGGGAGCAGUGGGGAAUAUUGGACAAGGGGCGAAAGCCUGAUCCAGCAAUGCCGCGUGAGUGAUGAAGGCCUUAGGGUUGUAAAGCUCUUUUACCCGGGAUGAUAAUGACAGUACCGGGAGAAUAAGCGCCGGCUAACUCCGUG